GACGAACGUUGGCGGCGUGCUUAACACAUGCAAGUCGAACGGUAAGGCCCUGCUUUUGUGCGGUGCUCGAGUGGCGAACGGGCGAGUAACACGUGAGUACACUGCCCUUGACUUUGGGAUAACUUCAGGAAACUGGGGCUAAUACCGGAUAGGAGUUACUGCUGCAUGGUGUGGGUUGGAUAGUUUCGGCGGUUGGGGAUGGACUCGCGGCUUAUCAGCUUGUUGGUGGGGUAGUGGCUUACCAAGGCUUUGACGGGUAGCCGGCCUGAGAGGGUGACCGGCGACAUUGGGACUGAGAUACGGCCCAGACUCCUACGGGAGGCAGCAGUGGGGAAUAUUGCACAAUGGGCGGAAGCCUGAUGCAGCAACGCCGCGUGCGGGAUGACGGCCUUCGGGUUGUAAACCGCUUUCGCCUGUGACGAAGCGUGAGUGACGGUAAUGGGUAAAGAAGCACCGGCUAACUACGUG
rnacentral:rRNA from 1 species